AAUCUAAAACGAAUCUCGGGAAAGGAUAUUCGGCUCUCCCAUUCAUUAAAAAAGUAACCAAAUGGGAUACUUGGUGUAAUUGGAAAAUCCCGUGAAAC
rnacentral:rRNA from 1 species